AUGAACGCUGGCGGCGUGCUUAACACAUGCAAGUCGAACGAAGCACUUUAUUUGAUUUCCUUCGGGACUGAUUAUUUUGUGACUGAGUGGCGGACGGGUGAGUAACGCGUGGGUAACCUGCCUUGUACAGGGGGAUAACAGUUGGAAACGGCUGCUAAUACCGCAUAAGCGCACAGCAUCGCAUGAUGCAGUGUGAAAAACUCCGGUGGUAUAAGAUGGACCCGCGUUGGAUUAGCUAGUUGGUGAGGUAACGGCCCACCAAGGCGACGAUCCAUAGCCGACCUGAGAGGGUGACCGGCCACAUUGGGACUGCGGCACGGCCCAAACUCCUACGGGAGGCAGCAGUGGGGAAUAUUGCACAAUGGGCGAAGGCCUGAUGCAGCGACGCCGCGUGAGCGAAGAAGUAUUUCGGUAUGUAAAGCUCUAUCAGCAGGGAAGAUAAUGACGGUACCUGACUAAGAAGCACCGGCUAAAUACGUG
rnacentral:rRNA from 1 species